rnacentral:lncRNA from 1 species
AGCUGUGGCACUUGGCUGCAAUGCUGAGCUGUAAAACUCAGCCAUGCCUCUGAGCUGUGGCACUUAGCUGAGACACUAAGCUGGAACACUUGGCUGUAGCACUGAGCUGCUCUGCUCUGCUGCAAUAGUUUUGCAGGAUGUCUCAGUCUGCGUUGGAAGUUGUGGUCUUUUAUGGCUUGAAACACUUCACUUCAUACUCUCCUGGCCUUUCAGGUUAAGGAAGCAAUGUGAGAGUUCUGCCAAGUAUGAAGUAUGUCUAUCCAAAUUGUGCAUUCUGGAACAAGGGACUGACUACAGGAUGGACUCAAGGACCUACUGGACCCACUGUGAGAAGGACCUUUGCUAAAACUCCACUGAUCACCUGACCUCCAUAGGACCCUACACUUACUAGAAGGUCACAAUAACUUUUGGGAUCCCCUGGAAUCAGGAUUAGUUCAGAACCAGUGUCCAGCAGUCCUUGAAAUGUCACUUUUCU